GACGAACGCUGGCGGCGUGCUUAACACAUGCAAGUCGAACGAAGAGCGAUGGAAGCUUGCUUCUAUCAAUCUUAGUGGCGAACGGGUGAGUAACGUGUAAUCAACCUGCCCUUCAGAGGGGGACAACAGUUGGAAACGACUGCUAAUACCGCAUACGAUCUAACCUCGGCAUCGAGGAUAGAUGAAAGGUGGCCUCUAUUUAUAAGCUAUCACUGAAGGAGGGGAUUGCGUCUGAUUAGCUAGUUGGAGGGGUAACGGCCCACCAAGGCGAUGAUCAGUAGCCGGUCUGAGAGGAUGAACGGCCACAUUGGGACUGAGACACGGCCCAGACUCCCACGGGAGGCAGCAGUGGGGAAUCUUCCGCAAUGGACGAAAGUCUGACGGAGCAACGCCGCGUGAGUGAUGACGGCCUUCGGGUUGUAAAGCUCUGUUAAUCGGGACGAAAGGUCUUCUUGCGAAUAGUUAGAAGGAUUGACGGUACCGGAAUAGAAAGCCAC
rnacentral:rRNA from 1 species